ACAUCCUGUCUGCUGAGUUGGUUUUGAGACAGGUACUCCCUGUUCACUAUCCAUGGAUGUCUCAGGACUUGGACUGCUGUGAGGCGCUGAUGAGGGUCUACAUGAAGCAUCUUAGACACAAUGUCCUGGGUUGAAAAGGAAGAAAACAGUACAAGGGAGAAAGUAAUUAAUGGCUGUGCAGGUUUUACUAAGAUCUUUCUGUUGGCAGUGUCAUCAUUAGCAUGUCCAAUGGAGAGAGUGAUGCACUUUAGACAGGCUUUAUGUUCUUUAAUUGUCAGGUCUUCAAAAUUUUCAAGUGCAAUGUUCAACUCUCAGCUAAUAAUGCAGUCAAAACAUAAUGUGGAGGGCAUUAAUCUUACUGAAUAAUUGUUUAUUACUGGUGACCUUGUAGGAGUGAUAAACACCUAGGGAGAGGAUGCCAUCUGGAGGCGUCUCCUCACCGACCUCAAGGCAUGCUUACAAGAGAAACUUAGAAGAGAAACUCAACACUCAGUUAUGCCGUCAGCAGAUGUUGGAGCCAUCACCUGUUUGGUACCACCCAGCAGCUGGGACUUACAGCCCUUACAGCCCUGCCAAAGAAACAGCACAUGAGAAGAAUAGAGAAUGGCUGUGUUUCUCACAUGGAGUUCUCCAUCACUACAGUUGUGAGAUUGGAAAAAGUUAAGAGGUGGAAGGAGACAGUUUAACUGCCUUGUUGUCUGGAAAAUGAACAGCCUAAAAGAAAAGGGAAAUUGUGAAAAAUUACUAUUAAGAAGAAACAGACCUAAUUAGCAAUACUUUUCUGAAAUAAGGACUGCGUAUCUGAUCAAGCUGUGCAGAAAGCUUCAGAUGGAAACCAGUGAAUAAUAUUCAGAACUUAUAAAGAGGAAAAAUUAUUAUAUCAGUAUGGAAGACAAAUGCAAGAAACAUGGUUUGAAUGGCCCCAAAAGAGAAACAGAGGCACAAAGGACCAAAUUCCUUCCAAAAUACUUCAGGUAUUCGGCAAGCAAAUUAGCGAAGAGAAACAUGAUAUUAUUAAGCUGUAGAAAAACUGCUGCCUGAUCCUAGGUCUCAGAAAAUAUCUAGUUAGCAGAGAGAAACACCGCAUUCUCAUAUUCUUCAGAGGUUCAGCCAUGCCAAGGAAAGAUACACUGAGAGCUUUGUGAUGAAAUGGGAAGGAGGCUGCAGGAAUUCUUAAGCCAGAGAUGUACAACCACUACACAUUUAAGAUUUGCUUUGAAGCUGAGAUUAAGAGGUGGCCUGCACACAUUUCUGUAUUCCUACCUGCCCUCUCUGAUUAUUUUAAGAAUUUAAGCAAUGCUUUGACCCCAUUUACCCCAAAAGUCAGCAAUGGUUCUUGCUACUAGAAACAAGCUGGCUACUUGUAGAAAUGGUCAAGCCACUCCUGCCUAUCUGCCCUGCCUUCUCCCACAUCCUUCCAGCAGAGCCCACCCCUCUGUACUGGCCUAGCCUUUCUGAAGCUGUAGCUGCAUCUAUUCAAGCAGUGUCUCCUUGGAGAACUGACUUAUUUCUGUGGGGAGACUAUCUAGCGGAAAGCAUAGAAUCACAGAAUAUGCUGUGUUAGAAGGGACCCAUCAGGAUCAUUGAGUCCAACUCCUAUCUGAACACACUCAAAACAAUAGAAAAGUGAGACCCAAUGAAGUUUUACAGGUAUUCUGGAAAACCCCAAUCUUGAAAAAUGAAGAGACAUUAUGUUGCCUCCUGUUGCGGUGAGCGUACAUAAUGACCCCAGUCCAGGGUGGAAGUCAGGCCCUUUGAUUAAGUUUUUGAAAAGAGAAAACUAAGAAAGCCUUCAAAAAUACUCUCACAGAUCAGAUGUAAGAUCCUCACAGACAACAAUAUCACCCUUUGCUGCUUCAUCCAUUUUACUGUAAAUCAUUUUCCAGCACAUCUAGAGGAAACCCUCCAUGGUGUUUCCAAUCACUCACAGUAUGACAACGAGCCCUUAUUAGAGCUAUUAAUGCUGGUUUCUUUGCAGAGCACUCUAGAAAACAGGCCUCCCUAUGCCAAUUCAAAGAAGGACAAAGAUUUGUGCUUAAAUCAGCUCUAAAGCCUGUAUCUCCUAAAUAGCACCCUAUAGGCUACCAAAUUUGGUGCCUCACUGCCAAAAGCUUGAGUAUGCUUCAGACACUCAAAGCCAUCUUUUACCUGAGUGUCUGGGCCGUGUUAUUUCCUGAUGCCCAGCUUUAUAAACCAAAUUUAAUGGGAAAACCUGGUGUUUUCUGUAGUUUAUCAAGGUAAGAAUGGGUUUUGUACCUCUAACCUUGCAUUUUAUAAGGCUACAUUUCCACCAAUAUGACAAAUCCAACUGCUUGGCAUGUGAAGGGGAAAACAUCUCAGUAAUUUCCUUGAAGAAGUUGCUUUACCAACUGCUCUCACAAUCAGACUAUUUUUCCCCUGAAACGCCCUUUUUUAGCUUCAAGACAUUCUGUCUUCCUUUGCUGUCUUUAGCAGCUAAAUGAUUGUCAUCCAUCAUUUAUAUCACCUUGGAGAUAUUUAUGAAUUUUGAUCGCAUUCUACCGAGCUCUUGUCUGUCUUACAUCACACAUAUUUGCAGGUCUCUUGAUAGAGCUUGCCUUCUAAUUCUUGCAUAUUUUCUACUAUAGAUUUCCUCUAAUUUAUUUAUAUUUUAUCUUAAACCAUUGAUAUCAAAAGAGCACAUGAUCUCACAGGAUUUAGUAUUCCUAC